UGAGUAACGCGUGAGCAACCUGUCCCGAACAGGGGGAUAACGAGCCGAAAGGCUCACUAAUACCGCAUGAGACCACAGCAUCGCAUGGUGCAGGGGUCAAAGGAGCAAUCCGGUUCGGGGUGGGCUCGCGUCUGAUUAGCCAGUUGGUGAGGUAACGGCUUACCAAAGCAACGAUCAGUAGCCGACCUGAGAGGGUGAUCGGCCACAUUGGAACUGAGAGACGGUCCAAACUCCUACGGGAGGCAGCAGUGGGGAAUAUUGGGCAAUGGGCGAAAGCCUGACCCAGCAACGCCGCGUGAAGGAAGAAGGUUUUCGGACCGUAAACUUCUAUCCUUGGUGAAGAUAAUGACGGUAGCCAAGAAGGAAGCCCCGGCUAACUACGUGCCAGCAGCCGCGGUAAUACGUAGGGGGCAAGCGUUGUCCGGAAUGAUUGGGCGUAAAGGGCGCGUAGGCGGCCCGGUAAGUCUGAAGUGAAAGUCCUGCUUUUAAGGUGGGAAUUGCUUUGGAUACUGUCGGGCUUGAGUGCAGGAGAGGUAAGCGGAAUUCCCGGCGUAGCGGUGAAAUGCGUAGAGAUCGGGAGGAACACCAGUGGCGAAGGCGGCUUACUGGACUGUAACUGACGCUGAGGCGCGAAAGUGUGGGGAGCAAACAGGAUUAGAUACCCUGGUAGUCCACACUGUAAACGAUGAAUGCUAGGUGUAGGGGGUAUCGACCCCUUCUGUGCCGGAGUAAACACAAUA
rnacentral:rRNA from 1 species